rnacentral:tRNA from 1 species
GGAGGGUAUAGCUCAGUGGUAGAGCAUGUGCUUAGCAUGCACAAGGUCCUGGGUUCAAUCCCCAGUACCUCCA